AGAAAUGUUUGUUCAUGUUUAAAACUUGUUCAGUCAAAAGUUUGUUCCUGCUAGUUCUCAAUUAUAUUGAUGAAUUAUAGCCAGCUUAUUAUUCAUACUCUUCAAUCAUGAUAUAUCCUUAUAUUGUUGUAUUUAAACUUGCCGGGCAACUUUCAUGCUCACCCUUGCUAUAUCAUGAUAAAACAUUGCAGAUAAGGCGAAUGCAUUCGGAUACAGGAAAAGGUUAAUGCCAAGUACAGCUUGGGAUAAAUUGUGCGGCUAGUUUGUAAUAGUAUAGUUUGAUAAAUGUUAGAUCAUUUAUGAUUGAUGUAUAAGUUAAGGUUACUCGAUUUUGGGGGAAAAGUGUGUAAAUUUAAUGUAUAAACAAUUUAUGUUUAUAUCUUCCGCAAACAGUUAUAGAAAUAGUGUACCAGAUUCGCGGCGAU
rnacentral:lncRNA from 1 species